GACGAACGCUGGCGGCGUGCCUAACACAUGCAAGUCGAACGGGGCUCUUUGGAUCGAGACUUCGGUCAAGUGAAUCUGAGCUUAGUGGCGGACGGGUGAGUAACGCGUGAGCAACCUGCCUUUCAGAGGGGGACAACAGUUGGAAACGACUGCUAACACCGCAUAAUGUGUUUUGGGGGCAUCCCCGGAACGCCAAAGAUUUAUCGCUGAAAGAUGGGCUCGCGUCUGAUUAGCUAGUUGGUGAGGUAACGGCCCACCAAGGCGACGAUGGGUAGCCGGACUGAGAGGUUGACCGGCCACAUUGGGACUGAGAUACGGCCCAG
rnacentral:rRNA from 1 species